GGAGCCAUGUAGUAAGCACAAAGCGAACUAUUCUUUCGCCUUUUACUAAAGAAUACCGUGUGCUUACUAUUAAUAAUGGCUUACGUUUAUUUUUGGAUGGCUGAUCUCAUUAGAGCACAGCCAACAACACUAGUAUAAUUUUAUUUCAUAAACGGGAUUACAUAAAUGCCAUGAUAUAUAUAUAUAUAUAUAUAUUAAUAAAAUAUUAAUAAUCUUUUUUAUUUAUAAAAAUAAUAAAUAUGAUUUAGUAUUAAAAUUAUAAAAAAAUAAUAAAUAAUAUAUUAUUAAUAAAAUUAUAAUUAAUAUAUUAAUUAAUAAAAAUUUAAUUUAUAAUAAUUACCAAAUCAUUAAACAAUAAUAAAAAAAGAAUUAUUAAUAAAAAAUAAACCCAAGUAGACGAAGUUAACAAAAUUUUAUUCGUUUGAUUCCAUUAUUCAGUUAUAAUACAUGUUUAUACAUUUUCAAAAAAAUAAUUGAAAUACUUCAAUACAUGAAUUUCAUACCAUUCCUCAUUAUAAAAAUAAAAAGUUCUCUUUUCCUAUCUGUUACAACUUGAAGGAGCAAUGAUAUAUUUAGCAUGAACAAUCCCCGAUAAUUGUUUUUCCAUAGCGACAGUUCACAAUGGCAAGGAUGAGCACUGAACAUCUUCACAAGAUAAUUAAAGCUGCGCAAACUCUCUCCUCCUCUCUUCUUCAUACAUGGCAUUAAUCCCACAUCAAAUAGUUAUGAAAGUUGAGAAACGAACAGAACAUAUAAAUAGGAAGUUAAUGGCCAAUUGCAACAUAUUUAACUGGACGGAGUCAAAUGGUGAUCAAGAAGACUCAUGGCAUAGGUAGGUGGCCUCGUUUGCCCUAAGUGGAAGAGUCUACAUCAUGAUUUGGGGUAGUGGGCCCGUGUUCGCGCGGCCCCUAUCAACAUUAUUUCCAAAGAAUCUUCUCAUUGUGAGCUUUACUCCUGUAUGCUGCACAAUGCGACCUGCAUAGCCUCUGUGUCUCCAAUGAAGAUGACUGCUGCGUGGAAGGAUCUUGGUGUUGAUGAUAUUUUCUUUGCUAAUCCAAUACAUCUAUCUACUAGAAUUCCCACCACACAUGGGGCAUUUCUAAGCAUCUGUUACAAUCCAGAACCAUCAGGAAGUCGCAAAUGACUAAGAGGAUUUCAUGGACAAGUAAGGAAAAUGAAGAAUUAUGAAGAAAUGCUUGCUAAAUUUGUCAUGUUACCUUCUGGUUCACAAUGCGAACAAACUAACAAUGGCGAAAACCAAUUUCUGAAACUCUAUUUUGAUUGACUAACAUUUGCUCUUCCAGCAUUAGCAUAAAAAUUUAAAGCCAUCACAGUUGAGUGCCUUCAAACGGGUAAGCAGAUGGUUUGCAUGCAUUGCAGAAGAGAGCUUCAAACUGGAAACAAGCAACUUCAGAAAGUUAUUCAGGAGUAAUCACCGUUAUCUUGAGAAUAAAAAAAAAAAAAAAAAAAAGAGAAAAGGGAAGAAAGGAAAGGACACCUGGGUAGAAGAUAAUUGAGAAAGAGGGGAAGAAGAGAAAAUCGAGAGAAAGAGAGAGAAUUUGGGGAUAUGUAGGAUAUACUGAUUUUGUGGAUAUGUGAAAAGUGUUGCAAGUUGAAUAUUUACAAACCUAGGGGUGAGCCUAAA